UGUUCUAGCGGCGGACGGGUGAGUAACGCGUGAACAAUCUGUCCCAGACAGGGGGAUAACACUUGGAAACAGGUGCUAAUACCGCAUAAGACCACGAGACCACAUGAUCUUGAGGUAAAAGGAGCAAUCCGGUUUGGGGUGAGUUCGCGUCCGAUUAGCUAGUUGGCGAGGUAACGGCCCACCAAGGCGACGAUCGGUAGCCGACCUGAGAGGGUGAUCGGCCACAUUGGAACUGAGAGACGGUCCAAACUCCUACGGGAGGCAGCAGUGGGGAAUAUUGGGCAAUGGGCGAAAGCCUGACCCAGCAACGCCGCGUGAGGGAAGAAGGUUUUCGGAUUGUAAACCUCUGUCCUCAGGGACGAAGGAAGUGACGGUACCUGAGGAGGAAGCCCCGGCUAACUACGUGCCAGCAGCCGCGGUAAUACGUAGGGGGCGAGCGUUGUCCGGAAUGACUGGGCGUAAAGGGCGUGUAGGCGGCUUUUUAAGUCUGGAGUGAAAGUCCUGCUUUCAAGGUGGGAAUUGCUUUGGAGACUGGAGAGCUUGAGUGCGGAAGAGGUAAGUGGAAUUCCCAGUGUAGCGGUGAAAUGCGUAGAGAUUGGGAGGAACACCAGUGGCGAAGGCGACUUACUGGGCCGUAACUGACGCUGAGGCGCGAAAGCGUGGGGAGCGAACAGGAUUAGAUACCCUGGUUAGUCCACGCUGUAAACGAUGAAUGCUAGGUGUUGCGGGUAUCGACCCCU
rnacentral:rRNA from 1 species